GGCUGGAGGGCUCAGUGGGUAGAGCAUGAGACCCUUCAUCUUAAGGUCGUGGGUUCGAGUCCCGCACUGGGCA